rnacentral:rRNA from 1 species
CUUUUUGGAUUUAAUUGGAAGUCAGGCCUGUCCACUGAGAAUUAUUUGAAGGGCCGCGGUAUUUUGACCAUGCAAAAGUAGCAUAAUCAUUAGAUUYUUAAUUGGGAACUGGAAUGAAUGGUUUGACGAAAUAAUUAGUGUCUCUGAUAUGAUUAAUUGAAUUUUACUUUUAAGUUAAAAGGUUUAAAUGUUAAUAAGGGACGAUAAGACCCUAUAGAUCUUUAUGAUAAUUUUAUUAUUAUUGUUUUGGUUGUCACUUAUAUUUUAUUGAUUUUAUCAUUUUGUUGGGGGGAUGUGAGAAUAUAUUAACUUCCUAAUUUUAACUUUGAUAUAUGAAUAUAAGAUCCUAUAUUUAUGGAAUGUAGAUUAAGAUAUCUUAGGGAUAACAGCAUGAUUUUCUUGGAGAGUUCUUAUAGAUAAUGGAGAUUGCAACCUCGAUGUUGGAUUAAGAAUAUAUGUUGGUGUAGAUGCUGAUGUUAUUGGUCUGUUC